ACGGAGGGUCCAAGCGUUAUCCGGAAUCAUUGGGUUUAAAGGGUCCGUAGGCGGACUAAUAAGUCAGAGGUGAAAUCCCAUAGCUCAACUAUGGAACUGCCUUUGAUACUGUUAGUCUUGAGUUAUUUGGAAGUAGAUAGAAUGUGUAGUGUAGCGGUGAAAUGCAUAGAUAUUACACAGAAUACCGAUUGCGAAGGCAGUCUACUACGAAUAUACUGACGCUGAUGGACGAAAGCGUGGGGAGCGAACAGG
rnacentral:rRNA from 1 species